rnacentral:lncRNA from 1 species
GGGCCACAGGCUACUGAGUCUGACCCUGGGGGAGCAGCAGCACAGUGGGGAGGCCCGACGGGGAGAGAAAGGGAGGGAGGGAGGGAGGGAGGGAGGGUAAGGGAGAGAAGAAGGGAGAGAGACGGACGGAGGGAGAAGAGGGAAAGAAAGAGAGGGAGAGAGGGAGGGAGAGCAGGAGGGACACAGCUCUGUGCUGGAACCCCCUGAGCUCCCUCACUCUCUCCUUCCUGGCUGGAGGCUUCUUGGUGUGAGUUAACCUCGGAAGGGCCUCUGCACAUGGGUUUUGGGGCUUGGGUCCUGGGGGAAGCUGCCACAGAUCCCAGCAGCACCUUUGCUCUGGGAAGGCUAACGUUGAUGAGGGCCUCGGUUGGCCUGUCCGUCCAACUGUGCUGGGUGUGGCCCCCGGCUCUCCGGCCCUGGCUGUCAGGUGACUGUGGCAUACAGCCCCCUCGGCAGGGUGCACUGUGCGCCAUCUGUGCCUAGCGGUGAUGGACGUUGCCCAGACAAGCAUAUCGGGAUUCCAGCCGCGAGUGGUUCCCAUGACCUUGCAUCUGCCUGGCAUGUGCCCCUUCCUGGGUCUGCUGUACCCCCUGAGAGGCUGGGGUGUCUCCACUCAGAUCAGAGAUUGCAGAGCAAUGGAGGAAUUGAUCUCUGAAAUUGCUCCUUAAGCCUUCUAAUAGGUCACCAGCCUGUGUAGAUGGGCAAAGUCACACGGAGGAUGUGAGCCGGGUGGGCGGCCCCUGAGGAGAGACAGGCACAGAAAUAGCUGUGGCUCAAGUCACUAGGGACAGGCGCUCACCUGAGGCAAAGGAAGGGAGGAGCAAUCAGGUAGGGCUUCCUGGAGGAAGUGGCUUUGAAAGAUGAAUAGGAACCAGUGGAGAGGACAGAAGUCAUGGGAAGGGCCCAGGGCAGAGCGACGAGGAAGGCCGGCGAGUCUGUGAGUGGUGAGGGCCUCAGGGCCAGCUCCUCUGAGCCUCAAAGGCCAGCGGGCAGAAAUAGAGAGAGAAAUGAGGUCAGAAGAGCUUCUGGUCAGGCGCAGGGCCUCACACCUGUGAUCCCGGCACUGUGGGUGGCAGAGGUGGGAGGAUCAUUUGAAUCCAGGAGUUCUAGACCAGCCUGGGAAACAUAGCAAGACCCCAUGUUUACAUAGUAAAAGAUAGAAAGAUUCACCAGGCAUUGUCGUGUCUAGCUCUAUUAGCAGCUACUCCGGAGGCUGAGGCAGGAGGAUCUCUUGAGCCCAGGAGGUUGAGGCUCCAGUGAGCUGUGUCGCCCCACUGUACUCUAGCCUGGGCGACAGAGUGAGAUCCUGUCUCUAGAAGAACAAAAGCUGAGCUCUCAAAAGAGAUUCCCCAGCACAGGGCAGGCUGCAGGCAGAGGGAGCCUGGGGCUCUUGAUCCUCCGCUGGGGGAGGUCAAGCGUCGCUGGAGUGUGCUUCUC